rnacentral:tRNA from 6 species
GCCGUCAUAGCUCAGUCGGUAGAGCACAUCCAUGGUAAGGAUGGGGUCGCAGGUUCAAGUCCUGUUGUCGGCACCA